rnacentral:rRNA from 1 species
GAUGAACGCUGGCGGCGUGCCUAAUACAUGCAAGUCGAGCGAACGGACGAGAAGCUUGCUUCUCUGAUGUUAGCGGCGGACGGGUGAGUAACACGUGGAUAACCUACCUAUAAGACUGGGAUAACUUCGGGAAACCGGAGCUAAUACCGGAUAAUAUUUUGAACCGCAUGGUUCAAAAGUGAAAGACGGUCUUGCUGUCACUUAUAGAUGGAUCCGCGCUGCAUUAGCUAGUUGGUAAGGUAACGGCUUACCAAGGCAACGAUGCAUAGCCGACCUGAGAGGGUGAUCGGCCACACUGGAACUGAGACACGGUCCAGACUCCUACGGGAGGCAGCAGUAGGGAAUCUUCCGCAAUGGGCGAAAGCCUGACGGAGCAACGCCGCGUGAGUGAUGAAGGUCUUCGGAUCGUAAAACUCUGUUAUUAGGGAAGAACAUAUGUGUAAGUAACUGUGCACAUCUUGACGGUACCUAAUCAGAAAGCCACGGCUAACUACGUGCCAGCAGCCGCGGUAAUACGUAGGUGGCAAGCGUUAUCCGGAAUUAUUGGGCGUAAAGCGCGCGUAGGCGGUUUUUUAGUCUGAUGUGAAAGCCCACGGCUCAACCGUGGAGGGUCAUUGGAAACUGGAAAACUUGAGUGCAGAAGAGGAAAGUGGAAUUCCAUGUGUAGCGGUGAAAUGCGCAGAGAUAUGGAGGAACACCAGUGGCGAAGGCGACUUUCUGGUCUGUAACUGACGCUGAUGUGCGAAAGCGUGGGGAUCAAACAGGAUUAGAUACCCUGGUAGUCCACGCCGUAAACGAUGAGUGCUAAGUGUUAGGGGGUUUCCGCCCCUUAGUGCUGCAGCUAACGCAUUAAGCACUCCGCCUGGGGAGUACGACCGCAAGGUUGAAACUCAAAGGAAUUGACGGGGACCCGCACAAGCGGUGGAGCACGUGGUUUAAUUCGAAGCAACGCGAAGAACCUUACCAAAUCUUGACAUCCUUUGACAACUCUAGAGAUAGAGCUUUCCCCUUCGGGGGACAAAGUGACAGGUGGUGCAUGGUUGUCGUCAGCUCGUGUCGUGAGAUGUUGGGUUAAGUCCCGCAACGAGCGCAACCCUUAAGCUUAGUUGCCAUCAUUAAGUUGGGCACUCUAAGUUGACUGCCGGUGACAAACCGGAGGAAGGUGGGGAUGACGUCAAAUCAUCAUGCCCCUUAUGAUUUGGGCUACACACGUGCUACAAUGGACAAUACAAAGGGCAGCGAAACCGCGAGGUCAAGCAAAUCCCAUAAAGUUGUUCUCAGUUCGGAUUGUAGUCUGCAACUCGACUACAUGAAGCUGGAAUCGCUAGUAAUCGUAGAUCAGCAUGCUACGGUGAAUACGUUCCCGGGUCU